CGGGGGUGCAUUGUAGUUGCAUUGCACGUUCUGGCAGUGCCGUGCAAUGUUUCCACAGUGCAUCCCAG
rnacentral:pre_miRNA from 15 species